rnacentral:rRNA from 1 species
GACGAACCGUGCGAACGUUGUUCGGAAUCACUGGGCUUAAAGGGCGCGUAGGCGGCUGUCCAAGUCCGGGGUGAAAUCCUGCAGCUUAACUGUAGAAGUGCCUCGGAUACUGGAUAGCUCGAGGGAGGUAGGGGUCUGUGGAACUUCUGGUGGAGCGGUGAAAUGCGUUGAUAUCAGAAGGAACGCCGGUGGCGAAAGCGACGGACUGGAUCUCUUCUGACGCUGAGGCGCGAAAGCUAGGGGAGCAAACGGG